rnacentral:rRNA from 1 species
UGCAAGUCGAGCGGUAGCACAGGGGAGCUUGCUCCCUGGGUGACGAGCGGCGGACGGGUGAGUAAUGUCUGGGAAACUGCCUGAUGGAGGGGGAUAACUACUGGAAACGGUAGCUAAUACCGCAUAACGUCGCAAGACCAAAGAGGGGGACCUUCGGGCCUCUUGCCAUCAGAUGUGCCCAGAUGGGAUUAGCUAGUAGGUGGGGUAAUGGCUCACCUAGGCGACGAUCCCUAGCUGGUCUGAGAGGAUGACCAGCCACACUGGAACUGAGACACGGUCCAGACUCCUACGGGAGGCAGCAGUGGGGAAUAUUGCACAAUGGGCGCAAGCCUGAUGCAGCCAUGCCGCGUGUGUGAAGAAGGCCUUCGGGUUGUAAAGCACUUUCAGCGAGGAGGAAGGUGGUGUGCUUAAUACGCUCAUCAAUUGACGUUACUCGCAGAAGAAGCACCGGCUAACUCCGUGCCAGCAGCCGCGGUAAUACGGAGGGUGCAAGCGUUAAUCGGAAUUACUGGGCGUAAAGCGCACGCAGGCGGUUUGUUAAGUCAGAUGUGAAAUCCCCGGGCUCAACCUGGGAACUGCAUUUGAAACUGGCAAGCUAGAGUCUCGUAGAGGGGGGUAGAAUUCCAGGUGUAGCGGUGAAAUGCGUAGAGAUCUGGAGGAAUACCGGUGGCGAAGGCGGCCCCCUGGACGAAGACUGACGCUCAGGUGCGAAAGCGUGGGGAGCAAACAGGAUUAGAUACCCUGGUAGUCCACGCUGUAAACGAUGUCGAUUUGGAGGUUGUGCCCUUGAGGCGUGGCUUCCGGAGCUAACGCGUUAAAUCGACCGCCUGGGGAGUACGGCCGCAAGGUUAAAACUCAAAUGAAUUGACGGGGGCCCGCACAAGCGGUGGAGCAUGUGGUUUAAUUCGAUGCAACGCGAAGAACCUUACCUACUCUUGACAUCCAGAGAACUUUCCAGAGAUGGAUUGGUGCCUUCGGGAACUCUGAGACAGGUGCUGCAUGGCUGUCGUCAGCUCGUGUUGUGAAAUGUUGGGUUAAGUCCCGCAACGAGCGCAACCCUUAUCCUUUGUUGCCAGCGGUUCGGCCGGGAACUCAAAGGAGACUGCCAGUGAUAAACUGGAGGAAGGUGGGGAUGACGUCAAGUCGUCAUGGCCCUUACGAGUAGGGCUACACACGUGCUACAAUGGCGUAUACAAAGAGAAGCGACCUCGCGAGAGCAAGCGGACCUCAUAAAGUACGUCGUAGUCCGGGUUGGAGUCUGCAACUCGACUCCAUGAAGUCGGAAUCGCUAGUAAUCGUAGAUCAGAAUGCUACGGUGAAUACGUUCCCGGGCCUUGUACACACCGCCCGUCACACCAUGGGAGUGGGUUGCAAAAGAAGUAGGUAGCUUAAC